ACUCAAAGGAAUUGACGGGGCUCCGCACAAGCAGUGGAUCAUGUGGUUUAAUAUGAUGCUACGCGUAGAACCUUACCAGGGCUUGACAUCCUGAUCGUACCCUAUGGAAACACUGGGGUCAGUUCGGCUGGAUCAGUGACAGAUGCUGCAUGGCCGUCGUCAGCUCGUGUCGUGAGAUGUUGGGUUAAGUCCCGCAACGAGCGCAACCCCUGUCGUAUGUUGUAUUUUUCAUGCGAGACUGCCCGGGCCAACCGGGAGGAAGGUGGGGAUGACGUCAGGUCGGCAUGGCUCUUACGUCCUGGGCUACACACGUGAUACAAUGGCCGGUACAACGGGUCGCGAAGUCGUGAGAUGGAGCUAAUCCUAUCAAAACCGGUCCCAGUUCGGAUUGCAGGCUGAAACUCGCCUGCAUGAAGUUGGAAUUGCUAGUAACCGUGGGUCAGCUACACCACGGUGAAUACGUUCCCGGAGCUUGUACACACCGCCCGU
rnacentral:rRNA from 1 species